ensembl:ncRNA Y105E8A.41 ncRNA
CCUCAGCUUAAGCUUAAGCCUAAGACUAAGCCUAAGCCUAAGCCUGAGCCUGAGCCUGAGCCUAAGCCUAAGCUUAAGCCUAGGCCUAUGCCUAA